AGCAUAUAUAUUCAGUUAUAGCACAUAGCAUAUAUAUUCAGUUAUAGCUGAAUAACAAAUGGCGGUCAUUCAGUACUGGUUCUUCCAUCAGCAUAUAAAAAAUUCCUUCAAAGCAACUCCCCCAGGACCCUGGAUAGGAGGCAAGGCAGGUGUUCACCUGGACAGGGCCUGAUGCUCCAGAUGUUGCCCUUUUUGGUCUGUGCUAACCUGCCGAGGUCUUAAUAGAGACAGUGUGGUCUAGUGUGUAGGUCACUCGACAAGGAGGCAGAUUUCAAAACCUGCCGCAUUUUCUUUCUUCCUUCCUCAGAUGGCAAGAGGCAGACAACUCAACUAAAGAGAAGAGGAUUUACAGCAAGUUGCUGACCCAGCUUACAGCACAGCUGUCCUCUUCCAUAGAAUGGGAAGAAGUUUUAUGCUUUUAUGCUUCUCUGUACCGUCAACCUCAAAGUUUGAAAACAAGUAAGAACCUUCUAUCUUGGGGAAGUCUGGCAAAUGCUCCAUAGAGGCUGCUGUGGAAGGGAAUCAUUCCACAUCCCAUGAUAGGAUAAGGCAUGAAAUCCUGCCUGGGAAAACAAGAGCGGCACAGGGAAUGGGCUUCAGUCCUGUCUCAUUCACAUGGUCUUGGACACAUCCUAUAUGCUUCUGGGACAUGCUUUUCUCUAUCUGUCAAACAACGGGGUGCUCUAAAGACCUUGCUGCUGUAGCGAUCUUGCUUCACCUUGGGUAAAUGCGGCCGUCAUAGGAGAGGAAGUAGGGUCUUUGUCCUCAUGGGUCUCCCACCAGGCCCAAGGUUUCUCCAAGCCCUGCUGACCCAGGAGGGCCACUCCUAGCCCCUCUGCCAAGAAUCUACUUUCCUUCCCUCAUUGACUGAUCAUGCUCAGAAAUCAGCUAAUUUGGGGAUGGGGGGAGUCCAACAUGAAAGAAACACUACAAAGAAACUCUUAGGUAAGCUCUCCACCUCUACACACACCCAUACACAUACACUGACACAGACACAUACAGGAGCCCUGAAAUAUAAGUAUAUUCCCUUCCGUGUAUCAAACCUCUUUUGCCCUCCUGAAUUGCCAGUGUGCUGGGAGAGACUUCAGUCCCACAGCAGAAAAGCACUGCUUCCACUUACGGAACUCAGCUAAACCUCAGUGUUUGGGGAUGACCCUGGGCACAGGUUGAAGCUAAAGGUCCUAACACACCUCAAUUGCAGUGCAGAAAUGCAGACUUUACCAGCCAUGAUUGGGGCAGUAGCUAACUAAAAGCACAGGACCAGGAUCCAGAUCCUUCCUUCCUUGCUCUUCCACUUCCACUGCCUCCCCCACCCUAAAUGUGUUAUUCUGUAACAGUGGUCGCCUGCUUGAGCCUGCUUAUCUGCCUGCAUAGAGUGCUGUCGACUUGCUCUGUAAUGCACUGUAUAUGUGUAUGUCCUGACUCUGUGGUUUACUGCAAAUAAAAAUGACAGCAGGUGGCUGACCUCUGA